rnacentral:rRNA from 1 species
UACGGGGGGGGCUAGCGUUGUUCGGAAUUACUGGGCGUAAAGGGCUCGUAGGUGGCCAACUAAGUCAGACGUGAAAUCCCUCAGCUUAACUGGGGAACUGCGUCUGAUACUGGAUGGCUUGAGUUUGGGAGAGGGAUGCGGAAUUCCAGGUGUAGCGGUGAAAUGCGUAGAUAUCUGGAGGAACACCGGUGGCGAAGGCGGCAUCCUGGACCAAUUCUGACACUGAGGAGCGAAAGCCAGGGGAGCAAACGGG